AACCGAGAGACUAAGUUGUAUAAUAUGGUAAAAAGACAGUUAGAUAUUCAUAGUAAAAGUUUAUUAAUUGCGUUAUAAAGAGGUAGAAUUCGAAUAUAAGUAAAUAUUUCUAACAAAACUAAUGUAUUCAAGCUGUGAUAACUCUGAGGGAAACUAGGAUUAGAUACCCUAUUAUUCAUAGAGAUAAAUAAGAAUAUUCUACCAGAGUACUAAGAAUAAAAAAAUUUAAAACUCAAAGGGCUUGGCGGUGUUUUAGACUACUUAGGGGAACCUGUCUCAUGAUCGACAAUCCACGCUAGACCUAACCUUUUUUUGCAACCAGUUUGUAUACCGUCGUCGCCAGGUAACUUUUAAGAUAUAAUAAGUUAGCUAACUAAACAAUUAAAUUAGGACGUCAGAUCAAGGUGCAGCCAACAAAAAGGUGUAGAUGGGUUACAAUUAUAAAAUUCAUAACAACGGAUAAUUGCUUUAAAAACAGUUAACAAGGAGGACUUAAAAGUAAAAUAAAAUAUAUAAACACUUUGAAUAAAGCUCUGAAACGUGC
rnacentral:rRNA from 1 species